CCAUACCACUCAGAACAUACCCGAUCUCAUCUGAUCUUGGAAGCUAAGCAGAAUUGGGCUUGAUUAGUACUUCUUUUUACUAAAUGCCAGAGAAGAUGUGGGG
rnacentral:rRNA from 1 species